UACGAAACAAACACAUAUCUCAUCUUCAUCUUCAGAUCUCUUCCCCAACUUCAAAACCUCCCACAGUAAUGAUCUCGUGGGGGAUUUUUCCCCCAAAACAGCCGAUUCCCUGUUACUUUAUAUAACUAGAACUUAACCUAUUCAUAUUUACUACUUUUCCUCCUCAAACAAAAACAAAAGUGUGGGAAAAUUAGAGCGUGAGAGGGGAGGCCGCCAUUGCUGAAGAGAUCUCGACCUUGGGGAGAGAAAUAACAACUAUCUCUCUUUGUUUUUUGUUUCCUAUCAGCUGAUUUAUGUUUUGUUGUAUGUAUGCGUGUAAAAUCAGUAUUCCAGCCGACCCAGGCGAGUCAAAGAUGUUGCUCACCAAGAUGUUCCGAGUCCUCACCAAGACGCUCGAGACCGCAAAUUGUCCACACAUGCUUUUUAAUGACAUACCUGGAACCGGCAAAACUACCACUGCCCUCGCCAUUGUUAAGCAGCACUAUAUAUUUGAACUUUUUUUUUUGUUUGUUUUAGUUUCUUUCUGGUAAUUUUCUUGUUAGCUAGUUUGACUGAUGAACAUUAGUAAAAGAAUGUCAUGAAAAAAUCCGCCCUAAAUUUAAUAAGAUCUGCUUGGGAAUUUUAGGUAUUGUUAAUUGUCAUUUAGUGCUGUUUAUUUGGUUUUACAGUCAGGAACUGUACAAAUGCAGGGUUCUUGAGCUGAAUGAUAGUUAUGAGUGUGGAAUCAGUGUAUACAAUAUCUAAAAUUAAGAAUUUUGUUGCAGUUGCUGUUGGUUCUGGGCAUCAAGGGUAUACAAGGUGUUAUGGUUAUCCUUGCCCACCUUUUAAGAUUAUCAUCCUUGAUGAUGCAAAUUCAAUGACUGAAGAUGCACAG